CCGUACCGUUGGGGGUGCUUCGAAAAUGAAGCUGAGAAAAUACCCCUUGAACCUGAUCCGGUUAAUACCGGCGGAGGGAAACGGAAUUUCUGAAUU
rnacentral:ncRNA from 2 species